rnacentral:rRNA from 1 species
UUAAAUUGAAGAGUUUGAUCAUGGCUCAGAUUGAACGCUGGCGGCAGGCCUAACACAUGCAAGUCGAACGGUAACAGGAAGCAGCUUGCUGCUUCGCUGACGAGUGGCGGACGGGUGAGUAAUGUCUGGGAAACUGCCUGAUGGAGGGGGAUAACUACUGGAAACGGUAGCUAAUACCGCAUAACGUCGCAAGACCAAAGAGGGGGACCUUCGGGCCUCUUGCCAUCGGAUGUGCCCAGAUGGGAUUAGCUUGUUGGUGGGGUAACGGCUCACCAAGGCGACGAUCCCUAGCUGGUCUGAGAGGAUGACCAGCCACACUGGAACUGAGACACGGUCCAGACUCCUACGGGAGGCAGCAGUGGGGAAUAUUGCACAAUGGGCGCAAGCCUGAUGCAGCCAUGCCGCGUGUAUGAAGAAGGCCUUCGGGUUGUAAAGUACUUUCAGCGGGGAGGAAGGGAGUAAAGUUAAUACCUUUGCUCAUUGACGUUACCCGCAGAAGAAGCACCGGCUAACUCCGUGCCAGCAGCCGCGGUAAUACGGAGGGUGCAAGCGUUAAUCGGAAUUACUGGGCGUAAAGCGCACGCAGGCGGU